CCUAAAGAACAAAAGCUGCAGCGCGAUCGAGCAGCCAGAGGCCAGAGCCAGUUUCACUUCACUAUCACUCACCAGAGGUACGGUGGGUUUUAGUGGUCCACCGGCCGAUCGAUCAUACCAUACCAUACCAUAUGGAUGUGAAGGUGCUGAGCUCCAAGCUCGUGAAACCGUCGUACCCGGCGGGCGCGCCGCGGCCGGACACCACGGAGCACGUGCCGUCGUCCGUGUUCGACAGAGCCACGUACAACAUGCAGAUGGCCAUCAUCUACGCCUUCUCCCCGCCGGGUCCCUCCCCGGGCGCCAUCGAGCGCGGCCUCGCCGCGGUGCUGGGCGCGUACCGGCUCUUCGCGGGGCAGGUCCGCGCGGGCCCGGACGACGGCGGCGCGCCGGGGGUGCUGCUCAACGACCACGGCGCCCGCCUCGUCGAGGCGUCCGUGGACGCGCGCCUCGCCGACAUCGCCCCCACCAAGCCGUCGCCCGCGGUGCUGCGCCUGCACCCGGACCUGGACGGCGACAUCCAGGAGGUGGUGCAGGUGCAGCUCACGCGCUUCGCGUGCGGCUCCCUCGCCGUGGGGUUCACGGCCAACCACGCCGUGGCGGACGGCCACGCCACCAGCGACUUCCUCGUCGCCUGGGGCCGCGCCGCGCGGGGGCUGGGCCCGUCGUCGUCCCCGGUGCCAGUCCACCGCCCGGGCCUCUUCCCGCCGCGCCACCCGCCGCGCGCCGAGUUCGAGCACCGCGGCGUGGAGUACUGCUACUACAGGCCCGCGCCGCCGUCGCCGGCACACGCACACCACCCUGCCGCGGCCCACGGAGGAGACACCCGGCACAGCGUCGUGAUCCACAAGGCACACUUCACCAAGGACUUCGUCGCGGGGCUCCGCGCCAGGGCGUCCCAAGGCCGCGGCCGCCCCUUCAGCCGGUUCGAGACGAUCCUAGCGCACGUGUGGCGCGCCAUGACGCGCGCGCGGGGGCUCGGCGUCGACCCGCUCCAGACCUCCACCGUGCGCAUCUCCGUGGACGGGCGGCCGCGCCUCGCGGCGCCGGCCGGCUACUUCGGCAACCUGGUCCUCUGGGCGUUCCCGCGCGCCACGGUGGGGGACCUGCUCAGCCGGCCGCUGAAGCACGCGGCGCAGGCGAUCCACGACGCCGUCGCGCGCGUGGACGGCGCCUACUUCCAGUCGUUCGUGGACUGGGCCAGCUCCGGCGCCGUCGACAAGGAAGUGCUGCAGACCACGGCCGUGCUCAAGGACGUGCUGUGCCCGGACCUCGAGGUGGACAGCUGGCUCACCUUCCCGUUCUACGAGCUGGACUUCGGCACGGGCAGCCCGACCUACUUCAUGCCGUCCUACUUCCCCACGGAAGGGAUGCUGUUCCUCGUGCCGUCCUACCUGGGCGACGGCAGCGUGGACGCCUUCGUGCCGCUGUUCGAGCACAACCUGGAGGCGUUCAAGCAGUGCUGCUACUCCAUGGAGGAGUAGCUAAGCUAGCGUCAACUCGAUCCUGUAUUCCUGUGCAUAUGCAUGCAUGCAUGCAUGCGUAAUUAUUCUGCUUAUGCGUAUACUUGCGUGCAUGCGAGCAUAUAUAUGCAACGUUGGUUAUUACCAUUAUCACCAUAAAAAACCAUACGUAUCUGGUACUUCCAUACGUAUAUAUGCACCCACACCCAGCAGUAUUUAUUUCCAUCCCCAUACGUACAUGCAUAUGCACAUUUUACAACUAAGACCUAAGUUACCUUCUUGUUUUUUUUUUGAACUUGUACGAGGAUUUGUGAUCAUCAGCAAAUGCUUCAUUUCCAGGUGUUCUGCUUCUACUAUAAUGUCGCUAGUGUUGUAUUCUCU
rnacentral:misc_RNA from 1 species